ACAAAAGAAAAUAGAUGGGAGCCCAAGGUGUUCUUUCUGUUGAUUGGAAAGAUGCUAUCUUUAAUGAACUGGUGGGCUCAAAUCCACUCUUGCUCCCAGUUAAACUAUGUAGCUGGCUUUUUUCUUGCAUAUCUAAUAUAUCAGAAUGGGGCAAAGGUGUUUGCUUUCUCUUUUGCUCUCUGUUAACUCUCUUCCUCCCAGUUAAAUGAAGGACAGCAGUAGCUCAGAAGCAAGGGAGAGUGCUGCAGGGCUGUGUUACUACUAUGAAAUUUGAAGUCAACUGCUUAAAAGAGAUUUAAAUCUAGAGUGUGAUUUGUAAAAGGUCUUGCAGAGGUAUUUACUGAACUGGGGAAGAAAGAGAAGAUGAUAGAUGGAGGUGGUUAUCCGUGUCACAUCAGCCCAGCUGCACGUUCCCAGCACGCUGCAUGAGGUUCCGAGAGCACAACUUCAAUGAGUGUCUGCACGCCAGGAGGCACUGUUUCAACUUCUCAAUGAGUGGCUGAAGAGCCAGCUAAGAAGGCUAACUCUGUUUAUGGCAAGAAACUCCUUUCACAGAUCUUCAGGGACAGCUUCUUCCAGGCAUGGCAACUACAGUGUUCCCCUUCAUCACCUGGGGAAUCAAGCUGAAAUCAUCAUUUUAAGAACUACUUCCAUGUGCCACUGGAAUACAGCCACUUCUGGAGUAAGACAGACCACCACUUACAGAAACUGAAGUAGGAUGUGUUGGCCAGCUGAGAUGACAGAGGAAUGAGAUGCUGUGCUGCAGAAGGGAAUCAGACUACUGCAAGGAAAAAAAAAGUGGUGCUGUCUGUGCCAGCUGCUGAAAAGACACUUCUAAACAUAAGGGAAUUCUUUGACUAAAUAUGCCUGGAGGAUGCUGAGGAGCCCAAGGUGGUUUGUACUGUCCUUAGUGGAUCACCUGGUAAUGUAUAAUCUCCUGAAACACACAUUUUUACUGCUCCUGACACACACACUUUCAAGCUAAGCUAGCAUUUGGAGAAUGACAUGUUAUAAGCAUCUCAUUAUUUCCAAUUAUGGGGCCUUAUUUAUUUUCUGACUGUGCACUGAAGCUUGGGGGUGGUGGUGCAGUUUGUCACAAUGUCGUAGCUAGGUCAUAAGCUCAGUUGAAGCCUUCAGGCACAGCAACAAUAUAAAACAGUAAGUAUGAAAUUUGGGCUCAAAAUUAUUAGGAAAGAGAAUGGUAGGGAAAAGCCUAAAAAAUUGCUUCUCUGCCACCUGAGAUUUUCUGAGCUCUGAAUCACUAGAUAAUUCAGGAACAUGCCCAGGCUAAGAGUGCUCUGGAGCUUGCAUGAGUCCACUGUUUCAGGUGCCCAACACUUACAUUCCAAAGCUGAGGGAGCAAUUGCAGCCAGACCACGACCAAGGCUUUGCACAGCUCAGGACACCCAGCUAGGCUCUCUGCUGGGUUAGUUUCUGUUCUGCUUACACACACUUAGGCUGUCAUUUAGUGUUUUCAAUAAACAGGAGAACAACUGAGUAUAACUAAACUGGCUUAGAAGCUGAAUAAUCAAAUACAGAUUUAAAAAUUAAUUCAAGUACCUCUUGAGUACUCUGCCCUCUUUAAAUACGAUGUCUGUAGGACAGCAACACAGAAACAGGGUUACAGUGUCUCACAUUUCAUAAAAGAUCUGAGAAAGAGUCCAACAAAAGAAUGCUGUUUUUAUACCUAAUCAGCAGUAAUGAGAGAAUAUGAAGAACUGUCAUGUGCUUAUUAGGGGAAAUUAUCAGAUAUUCUUUUAUAUGAUGAACUAACACACUGUGCUGAUAAUUCUGUAGUGCACACUAAAUUACAAUUAAAGGCCUUUCUGCUCCACCAAAAUCUCAUUUAUAAUCUCUAUGGAAAUACUCUUCCUGCAGUUAUUUCAUUUAUGCUGCUUUUAUCUAAUUACUAUAAUAUUGGUUCUGAAUCGUAUUUUCUUAAUGUACCCUUAUUCAAUUAUAAAGUUAUUUUCAAGUACAGUUACUUUAUAAUGCCAAGUAUAUUGCUCUGCAGCCUUUGUCUUUCACCAUGCUAUUUAACUGGCAGUGUUUUCUGAAGGUUUUUCUUAAUUUCAAAAUAGUUUUUUCCAAAAAGCACAAUACAUCCAAUUACCUUUUUUCUCAUCAUUUUCAAGAUGGAAAUGAACAGUCUGAUUCUUGCAAGCUUGCAAUCAUGCUUCUCUCCCCCUCCUUUGUUUUUUGUAGGCUCUAUUGUCAAGAGGUCAGCAGAAACCUCCUGGGGAACAGAAGCAUUCUGGGCCAUACAAUGUUCUGCUCCUGCCCCCACAGAGACCCAAAUACACCAAUUGGAAGAUGAAGAGAAGAACCUUUAAUGUUACAGAACUGACCAAGUUACUCUGUGCUCUGGUUUGAGCCUGAGUCAGCCAUGAACUCAUAUCCUAAGUGAACAGAGCUCUGCAAGCAAACCAUGUGAGGUGUGACAAAGGCAGCAAAUGCCAAGCAAAGGUUGCCUUCAGCUAAGAGGAUACAAGUUUCCUCUAACAUUGGUUCUGCCUUUCUCAUGUAGCCCAGAAAAUGAAAUCUGUGCUCGAGUCCACAAGAGGAUCAAUCCCUUCAAGCUCUGGUGUGUGUGUUUUGUAUUUGUAAGGUAGCACAUCUGACUGUGAGUUACUGCACAAUAAACCUACCUCUUCAUUUCUAUCUAAGUGGGGACCCUCUGUCAUUUUUACAGCAGCAUAUUUAAUAAGUAAAAAAAUAGAACUUCAUUAAAAAUAAAUUUCUUUUGUGCUGGGAAGUCUUUGGUUUGAAUGCCCAUUUUCAAACAUUAUAUGUGAAAAUACUCAAGUGCUGCAGUGGGUCACUUACUACAAAUUUGAUUUGAAGAUCAGCCUACAAGUCUCAUAAACAGUCUCAUAAAGAUGUAACUAUCAUAAUAACUUUCCAUUUUCCAGUUGCAAAUGUAAGAUGAACUGUUCUGAAGCACCUAAUAUAUGACUAAUGUUUAUUUGUUUUAUAAGAAGUUUUACAGCUGCAAUGUUCCAAGAAUGCUUAAAUUCAAUA